UACGUAGGUGGCAAGCGUUACUCGGAAUUACUAGGCGUAAAGCGCAGGUAGGCGGUUUGACAAGUCCGUAAUGAAAUCUCCCGGCUUAACUGGGAGGGGUUUAGGGAUACUGUCAGGCUCGAGUGUGGUAGAGGUAACUGGAAUUCCCGGUGUAGCGGUGAAAUGCGUAGAGAUCGGGAGGAACACCUAUGGCGAAAGCAGGUUACUGGACCAAUACUGACGCUGAGCUGCGAAAGCUAGGGGAGCAAUCAGG
rnacentral:rRNA from 1 species